rnacentral:lncRNA from 1 species
ACAUUGACACACAAAGUUAUGUGACGAUCCCCCCAAAGAGCUCCCACACCCAGUCGGUGAUGUGUGCGAGUGAGUAAGAAAUAACCCCCUUGCAUGUGUGUUGUGUUCAGCUACCCCUGCUCCGUCGGACAAACUAGAGAAGAACGGGAAAGAUGGAGAGAAGGAAGAGGAAGAUGAGGAGGGUAAGGCCUCAUCUGAGCCAGAGCAAGAUGGCGAGAAGGAGAAGAACAAGGGGAAGGAGGAAGAGAGCAACAAGAGUGCAGACUCUGAAGAGACUCCAAUCUCUACCAAAGAAGCACUACAAGAAUUAUCCCCUUGCACAACAACAGACAAGGAGGAGAAGGGUACAAAAGAGGAGAAGGAGGGGAAAGAAACCAAAACGACUGACACCCUUCCGGCCCUAGUGGAGGAGAAGAAAGUUGAGGAGGAGAGUAAGGAGGAGGGGUCCUUCGGAGAAACAACUAAGCAAGGGUCGGAGGUCAAACAUGAGAAACCAGGUAGUGUAACACUCUCACCUGGAGAGAAGGUGGAGGAGGAGAAAGAGAAGGACAACAACAAGGAAAAGGACAUGGAGAAGAGUGAGGAGGCCCCUGUCCCCACAGAAGAGCCAGACAACAUGGAAAGAAUGGAGCGACAGCAACCCUCUGACGUGAUGAAAGGUGUGUGACCUCACCUGUCCGUCCGUCCGUCUGUACAUGUCAGUCAGUUAGUUAGUGACUCACUGACUAGUCACUGGUAGAUAGGUAUAGACUAUUAGGUAUAGUUCAAUGGCAUCCACUUAUCUGAAUGAACUGGCUUGUGCUUUUACUGCUCACAGAGGAAGUAAAAGGUGAAAAGGAUGCUGGGAAAGAAGUGGCGAAGGAGGAGGUUGCCAAAGAUGCCUUGCCAAAACCCCCCAUCACCCCCCCCGAGCGACGGCGCUUCAUGUUCAACAUCGCUGAUGGGGGCUUCACGGGUAAAUGAGCCCUAUCAUAUGUCAUGUCUGGUACUGUGUAUUAGAGGGGACACAGCCCUAAGCCGUGAUAUAUUGGCCAUAUAUCACAAACCCCCGAGGUGCCUUGUUGUUAUUAUAAACUGGUUACCAACGUAAUUAGAGCACAUCAUUACCACAACAAAAUCCAACCAUGACACAGACAAGACUGUCGGGAUUCAGGACAUGCUUUUGUACUAUUCAGUUAAGCAAUAAGGCCCGAGGAGGUGUGGUAUAUGGCCAAUAUACCACGGCUAAGG